AUGAAGCUCAGUGAGUGUCUUUUGUCUUUCUUCAGCACGAACAGCUCUGUGUCUUUCAUUGUAUAUGUUAAUUUAAACAAAGUGAAGAUCAUGAACUCCAGACUCUCACCGCUGAUCCUGCUGCUGCUCAUUACAGGCUCUAUAACAUUGGACCAGCUCUCAGUGACCUGUAGUCAACAGAGUAUUUGUGCUGUGAAGGGGUCAGAAGUGACACUGAGGUGCUCUUACUCCAACAUCAACAUCAAAACUGUGUUCUGGUUCAGCGAGAGCGAGUGCCAUUAUAUCAAGUUUUUAUUUUCCAUGUCACUCAAAUUCAAUGUUAAGCUCAACUUUACUUCAAUUCUGUGUUUCAGAUACACAGGUAACAAGCAACCCAGGCAUUAUAUCAGAGAGACAGGAAGUGACAUUAAUCUGUUCAACUAAAUGCACUCUGAACUACAAACAUACAGGUGCUGGUCAUAUAAUUAGAAUAUCAUCAAAUGUUGAUUUAUUUCACUAAUUCCAUUCAAAAAGUGAAACUUGUAUAUUAUAUUCAUUCAUUACACACAGACUGAUAUAUUUCAAAUGUUUAUUUAUUUUAAUUUUGAUGAUUAUAACUGACAACUAAGGAAAAUCACAAAUUCAGUAUCUCAGAAAAUUUGAAUAUUACUUAAGACCAAUACAAAGAAAGGAUUUUUAGAAAUCUUGGCCAACUGAAAAGUAUGAACAUGAAAAGUAUGAGCAUGUACAGCACNUCUGGUUAUACUGUAAAUAAAACAUUCUGGCAUUACCCAUCUGGGGUCUUCAAGGAUCUGCGUGAGGAGCAUCAGUUUGCUGGUCGUGUGGAGUAUGUGGAGAACAAACUGAGAAUCAAAGAUCUCAAGAUCAGUGACUCUGGAGAAUAUCGAUUUAGGUUCAUCACUAACAUUACAAACGGCAAAUACUCUGGAUCACCUGGAGUCCUUCUUACUGUUACAGGUAACUGAUCAUAAUGAAUCUGAUCAACAGUGAAUGAUAAGAUUUUAAUGCCACCAAUGGCAGGAAACUGUUCAAAGACAGACUGCAGUGCCAUUAUAUCAAGUUUUUGUUUUCCAUGUCACUCAAAUUCAAUGUUAAGCUCAACUUUACUUCAAUUCUGUGUUUCAGAUACACAGGUUACAAGCAACCCAGACAUUAUAUCAGAGAGACAGGAAGUGACAUUAAUCUGUUCAACUAAAUGCACUCUGAACAACAAACAUACUUACAUCUGGUACAAGAACGGACGACAGGUAACAGAUGGAUUCACUAAAGACAACAAGCUGUACCUGGACUCAGUCAGCGAUGAAGAGCUUCACCAGUAUUCCUGUGCUGUAGGAGUGGACAGCACAGCGUUCAGUCAUUAUACAGUCACUCUGCUGGUGUUUUUACCUCAGUUUCUCAUAAUAGCAGCUCUGUGGAUGUGGUGA
ensembl:lncRNA